CACGAUCCGGCGAGAGGAACGGAGCACGGUUGUCGCUGGUCCAUCAAGGACAUGUGCACGCUUUCUUCUCUACUCUCGCCGUAUGGGCGCGGGGGAGGCCCGUCCCCCCCCCGCGUCUUCAUGCGCCCCUUCGUGUAGAAAGUCCUUGAAUGUUUUUAUCAUCAUCGAGUCGCGACUUCUAGGAGACGCGGUUCUUUGAGACAAAAGUUAUCACAACUUUCAGCAAUGGAUCUCUUGGCUCUCGCAUCGAUGAAGAACGCAGCGAAUCGCGAUAUGUAAUGUGAAUUGCAGAUCUACAGUGAAUCAUCGAAUCUUUGAACGCACCUUGCGCUCCUCGGUGUUCCGAGGAGCAUGCCUGUUUGAGCGUCAGUAAAUUCUCAACCCCUCUCGAUUCACUUCGACCGGGCGCUUGGAUCUUGGGGGCUUGCCAGAGACCUUCGGGACUCGGGCUCCCCUUAAAUGCAUCGGCUUGUGGGGUCGACCCUCGACUUUGCGCGACAAGGCCUUCGGCGUGAUAAUGAUCGCCGUUGGCUGAAGCGCAUCAAUCCGAGCCUCUAAUCCGUCGACGCCUUUCUGGCGUCUUCCUCUUUGACGUUUGACCUCAAAUCAGGUAGGACUACCCGCUGAACUUUAAGCAUAUCAAUA
rnacentral:rRNA from 1 species